rnacentral:rRNA from 1 species
UGGAGAAAAGCAGGGGAUCGUAAGACCUUGCGCUUUUGGAGUGGCCGAUGCCUGAUUAGCUAGUUGGUGGGGUAAGAGCCUACCAAGGCGACGAUCAGUAGUUGGUCUGAGAGGACGACCAGCCACACUGGGACUGAGACACGGCCCAGACUCCUACGGGAGGCAGCAGUGGGGAAUUUUGGACAAUGGGCGGAAGCCUGAUCCAGCAAUGCCGCGUGAGUGAAGAAGGCCUUCGGGUUGUAAAGCUCUUUCAGUCGAGAAGAAAAGGUUGCGACUAAUAAUCGCAACUUAUGACGGUAUCGACAGAAGAAGCACCGGCUAACUACGUGCCAGCAGCCGCGGUAAUACGUAGGGUGCGAGCGUUAAUCGGAAUUACUGGGCGUAAAGGGUGCGCAGGCGGCUCUGUAAGUCAGAUGUGA